rnacentral:rRNA from 1 species
GAAGCGAAACCGCGAGGUGGAGCAAAACUAAUAAAAGACGAUCUCAGUUCGGACUGCAGGCUGCAACUCGCCUGCACGAAGUUGGAAUUGCUAGUAAUCGUGGAUCAGCAUGCCACGGUGAAUACGUUCCCGGGUCUUGUACACACCGCCCGUCACACCAUGGGAGCCGGUAAUACCCGAAGUCAGUAGUCUAACCGCAAGGAGGACGCUGCCGAAGGUAGGAUUGGCGACUGGGGUGAAGUCGUAACAAGGUAAC